UACAGGGGGGGCAAGCGUUGUUCGGAAUUACUGGGCGUAAAGCGCGUGUAGGCGGGAAGAUAAGUCGGGGGUGAAAUCCCUGGGCUCAACCUAGGAACUGCAUUCGAAACUGUCUUUCUGGAGUGAUGGAGAGGAAAGCGGAAUUCCCGGUGUAGAGGUGAAAUUCGUAGAUAUCGGGAGGAACACCAGUGGCGAAGGCGGCUUUCUGGCCAUCAACUGACGCUGAGACGCGAAAGCGUGGGGAGCAAACAGG
rnacentral:rRNA from 1 species